rfam:Ovis aries breed Texel chromosome 16, whole genome shotgun sequence.
UCCCUGGAGGCUCAGAUGGUAAAGAAUCUGCCUGCAAUGCAGGAGACCCAGGUUUGAUCCCUGGGUUGGGAA